GAACACAAGAAGUAAAGCACAAUGCAGUUGUUGCUAAGCAACAUGUAUGGGACAGGGUUAUGAUGUCAUCAACCUUAGAAGAUUGGAGAAUCACAGCUAGUAAAAAUGGAAGUAAAUAAUCAUCCUGUACCUUCAGACCAAAUAGUGAUAGGUCAAGAUAUGACAUUAGCUAUUGGAUUCAGCAUUCACAUUUCCUGUUCUAAAGGACUAUAAAUGCAUAAAUGAGUGCUUCUUGCCCUGAGAUUUAUCUGAUUGCAUUUCUUGGAGACUUCAGCUGGGGCCCCGAAACCUGGCAACCCAAGGACUAAAGAAGUGAACUGAAGCCUACCUUUUAAAGAUCAAUAACAGCAAUAGACAAUUCCUUUUGAAAAUAGCAACAAUGAAUGCAAGAAAGCACUUGGGGGAAGGACCAAUAUAUGCUCAAACAGCAUUUUUGGAACUCAGCUUCUGUCAUAUUGUCAUCUGAUCUGCACAAUCUUCAUAAUCCUAUAAGAGCUCAAUAGAUAGUGGCAAAUAAUGGAUCUGAAGCGGGAAAUUAGUUUAAGGAACUUGGAUUAGACUAUAGAUUAGGAUAGUUUUUCAGUAAUAUAUGUUUUAUCCAAGACUUCAAUCAGACUAUGAAGGAGAAGCCAGAGUGCUGAUAACUAGCAAGAUCCCAACAACUAACAGGUAGAUGUAGCAAGAAGUGUGAAACAAAGAUACAAGUAUAGAAUUAUAGGAAUAAUUGAAAGAUUAAAACUAUUCUGUAAGACUCCA